rnacentral:misc_RNA from 1 species
UAGACAUCUGUGCUUAUAGGCUCUGAUUGUAGGUUAUGUAGCUUUAUUGCUCAAAAAAAUAGAAUAAAAUAAAGACGAAUUUGCAGUAAAGUGUAUAAUAAUGCAUGAUGUAUAGAUGUGCAGGCAACUAGUGACGUAAUUUUUAUUUUCUUCGUUAUAUCUAGAUUAUCUUAGAUUAGAGUUAUAUUAGAGUAUAUAUCAUCUCAGAAAAGAGCAUACGUAUUGUAAAUGUUUCGUAAGGUCAGAUUUGUCAAGCAGCUUUGUAAUGCUGCGAAUGUAUCAACGGAAUCUGCUGCAACUGCGGAGGUAUCAAAUCGAUUGCAGCAGUUUAGAGCAAAACUACAGAGAGAUGAACAGAACGGGAUACUUACGGAUACAUUUGGACGUAAGCACACGUAUCUCAGAAUAUCUGUAACGGAACGUUGCAACCUUCGCUGCACAUAUUGCAUGCCUGCAGAGGGUGUCAAGUUGACUAAAAAGGAAGGUAUUUUGAGAACUGACGAGAUAAUACGGAUAGCUGAUCUUUUUGUCAAAGAAGGAGUACGCAAAAUAAGAUUGACUGGUGGUGAGCCCACAGUUCGUAAGGACAUCAUUGACAUUGUUGGACAACUUAAGCAAUUAAAGAACUUGGAGCAAGUUGCCAUCACUACUAAUGGACUAACGCUAACCCGUCAGUUGCCAUCUCUUCAACGAGCAGGAUUAGACAUGCUGAAUAUAUCGUUAGAUACACUGAAAGAGGAACGCUUUGAGAUGUUUACUCGCAGAAAGGGCUGGGCAAGAGUUAUGACAUCUAUAGAUCUCGCUGUACAACUUGGUUAUGAUCCUGUCAAGGUCAAUUGUGUUAUAAUGCGUGGUCGUAAUGACGAUGAAAUAAUUGAUUUUGUCGAUUUCACAAGAGAUCGUCCCAUCAAUGUACGUUUCAUAGAAUACAUGCCGUUUCAAGGUAACGAGUGGAAAGAAAAUAAAAUGGUCUCGUUUGUCGAAAUGAAGGAAAUAAUCCGAAAGAAGUAUCCUAAUUUUCAAGCUCUGCCAAAUCAAGCCAAUGAUACAUCCAAGGCCUAUCACGUGCCAGGAUUCAUCGGACAAGUUGGAUUUAUCACAUCGAUGAGUCAGCACUUCUGUGAUUCGUGUAACCGUUUAAGAAUAACGGCGGAUGGCAACCUCAAAGUAUGUUUAUUUGAAGGGAAGGGUGAAGUUUCCCUCCGAGACGCUUUGCGAGAUGGAGCUUCGGAAGAUGUAUUGAAAAAUUUGAUAAGAAUGGCGAUAUUGCGAAAAAAGAAGCAACAUGCAGGAAUGUUCAAUCUAACUCAGAUGGAAAAUAGGCCAAUGAUCCUUAUCGGGGGUUAAUUAAUUGUUAAUUGAUAUUUAACCGGCUGUAAAAAUUCAUUCGGCUUUGUCGAGACGUGCACAGACCUUAUCCCAAUUACGCGCGUAAGGAGCGAUUAUGUCACAAAGUAGACAAUACCGUGUCGAUGUGGGACACGUAUAAGUAUUUUCCGUACGUUCCUGCGUAUUCUAAGACAAAUAUGAGUAUUAGAA